AUUGAACGCUGGCGGCAGGCCUAACACAUGCAAGUCGAACGAGUGGCGGACGGGUGAGUAAUGUCUGGGAAACUGCCCGGUGGAGGGGGAUAACUACUGGAAACGGUAGCUACUACCGCCUACCAUCGGAUGUGCCCAGAUGGGAUUAGCUAGUAGGUGGGGUAACGGCUCACCUAGGCGCCGAUCCCUAGCUGGUCUGAGAGGAUGACGAGCCACAAUGUAACUGAGACACGGUCCAGACUCCUACGGGAGGCAGCAGGGGGAAAGAUUGCACAAUGGGCGCAAGCCUGAUGCAGCCAUGCCGCGUGUAUGAAGAAGGCCUUCGGGUUGUAAAGUACUUUAAGCGAGGAGGCGUUACUCGCAGAAGAAGCACCGGCUAACUCCGUGCCAGCAGCCGCGAUAAUUC
rnacentral:rRNA from 1 species